rnacentral:rRNA from 1 species
CCUACGGGCGGCAGCAGUGGGGAAUAUUGCACAAUGGGGGAAACCCUGAUGCAGCGACGCCGCGUGAAGGAAGAAGUAUUUCGGUAUGUAAACUUCUAUCAGCAGGGAAGAAAGUGACGGUACCUGACUAAGAAGCCCCGGCUAACUACGUGCCAGCAGCCGCGGUAAUACGUAGGGGGCAAGCGUUAUCCGGAUUUACUGGGUGUAAAGGGAGCGUAGGCGGCGAUGAAAGGCAGAAGUGAAAGCCCGGGGCUCAACCCCGGAACUGCUCUGGAAACUGUGCGGCUAGAGUACUGGAGGGGCAGGCGGAAUUCCUAGUGUAGCGGUGAAAUGCGUAGAUAUUAGGAGGAACACCAGUGGCGAAGGCGGCCUGCUGGACAGUAACUGACGUUGAGGCUCGAAAGCGUGGGGAGCAAACAGGAUUAGAUACCCUGGUAGUC